rnacentral:sRNA from 1 species
UGACAGGGUCCUCCGCUGGGGUUCACAGAGCAGUCUGUGGCGUGCCUACAGAACCGAGCACUGGCUUCGUCUCCCUAAGGGAUGGGGAGCGGGAGGAGUAGGAUGCUGCGGGAGAUGGGGACUCGAGGUUGGUGGGUGUAAAGCGCUCAGAGGAGACUCUAUCCUUAGAAGACAAGACUAAGAGAUGAACAAGAUGCUGCUUACAGACCUGUUGGAGUACUGUGGACACUGAGAAGCUGACGAAGGUUGUAAAGCCGUUAUUGGAGGUUGGUGGCAUUUAAUACAGAGACUUACAACUGGUUAACAUGGAGUGAUGGUGAGAUUGUUGCAUGCUCUGCUCUGUGAUAUCUAUAUCACGUGCUAUAAUUUUGAGGCUCAAGGGUCAUCAAAGAAGGAGUAGAAAGAUCUAAAUCAGCGACGGUAGAUGUAUGCAGCUAAACAUAUUUGUACAAUACGAAAGAUACAAAAUGCACACGAACUCACAGCUGCAGUGGCUGCACACACAAGACCUACACAAGAUCAAGCCAGCCAAACUCCAAGCAUGAGUGAGGCUUAUGAAAUUUCUCCUCUGGCCGAGAGGCUUCUAGAACAUGAUGCCUGCUGCGAGGGAGUAUUGGUUUCCUGUAAGAACCUAGCCUUAAGUGGCUGCUCAUGCUCCAGUCGAUGGUCUGUAUCCAUGCACAUGGCACAUAUAGGUAGUUCUUGAAGGGUAAAAGGACCAUGCCACACAAGAGAACUGGUAACGUUGGGUAAGCCUAGAUCCAGUGAAUCUCAGAAUUGAGAAUGGUAUGAGUUAUUCCUUGUCUACCUCUACCUGCCCUGGAACAGUAACCAGGACAUGCCACUGAGAGGACCAAACCUAGAGUCCUUCCCCAUGCAAAUAGAGUAUCACUAACAUCUCAAACUGAGCCAAUAGGAAAUAUCUAUCCCUAAACUCCACCCUACUCCUCAAUGUUUACUUAGUCCCUGUUCACAUGGAAUAAAGAAUUAAAGUUAUUUCACCAAAGAUCAGCUGAGAGUGGCUGUUUCAUUGAGUUCUAACACUUCGGGAAGAGUUCUCAUAGCUUGAUGGACCUUGAACCCUCCAGGCUGCCUCUGUGCCUCUGCCAGUCCCCUGCUGUUGGCACUGUCACUGCUAUGGUUGCUGGUCCUUGGCUACCUGCCCUGUGCCGCCUGCCCAAACCUCCUUGCUUCUCUUUUAAGAGCUGUAACACUUUUGAUUUUUCUAGUGGAACGGAGACCUGUAGAACCUGUUCUCCCUGGUUCUACUUCACUUUCUGGCAAAUAGAAGAUGACAAGUUGGAUUGACUGGAUUUUCAAAAACAAAACAACAACGCAAAGAAAAACAGCAUAGGAGGUUGUGAAGGAAAAUUUGUGGAA